UACGUAGGGUGCGAGCGUUAAUCGGAAUUACUGGGCGUAAAGCGUGCGCAGGCGGUUCGUUGUGUCGGCGGUGAAAGCCCCGGGCUUAACCUGGGAAUGGCCGUUGAAACUGGCGAACUGGAGUGUGGCAGAGGGGGGUGGAAUUCCGCGUGUAGCAGUGAAAUGCGUAGAGAUGCGGAGGAACACCGAUGGCGAAGGCAGCUCGCUGGGACGUUACUGACGCUGAGACGCGAAAGCGUGGGGAGCAAACAGG
rnacentral:rRNA from 1 species